CCUACGGGAGGCUGCAGUGGGGAAUAUUGGACAAUGGGCGAAAGCCUGAUCCAGCCAUGCCGCGUGUGUGAAGAAGGCCUUCGGGUUGUAAAGCACUUUCAGUGGGGAAGAAAGCCUUGGGGCUAAUACCCUCGAGGAAGGACAUCACCCACAGAAGAAGCACCGGCUAACUCCGUGCCAGCAGCCGCGGUAAUACGGAGGGUGCGAGCGUUAAUCGGAAUUACUGGGCGUAAAGCGCGCGUAGGCGGUCUGGUAAGCCGGUUGUGAAAGCCCCGGGCUCAACCUGGGAACGGCAUCCGGAACUGUCAGGCUAGAGUGCAGGAGAGGAAGGUAGAAUUCCCGGUGUAGCGGUGAAAUGCGUAGAGAUCGGGAGGAAUACCAGUGGCGAAGGCGGCCUUCUGGACUGACACUGACGCUGAGGUGCGAAAGCGUGGGUAGCAAACAGGAUUAGAUACCCCAGUAGUC
rnacentral:rRNA from 1 species